CCCGAGUACCAGAAGAGGCCAAUGAGCAGGGCCCCCCCUCCUGAGGACCAUAAACAGUGACCCAGGCACAGAGGGAGUGUAGUGAAUUCCUGUACUUUAAUGUUGCCCUGGCAUCCGUUUUGAAUAUAAUCUGGACUUUCUUACAUUAGAAGCAGGGCUCAGUCAACCUUGACACUGUUUCCAGCUCCCUGCUUCCUCCCAGUUCCUCUAUGUGCUCAAUCCAGAUAUCUACCUUAGACAGUCAUCUCCCGGUGACUGCCUCCCUGUGGGACAGCUACAUACAGCCCACUUGACUGGUCCCGCUGACCCCACAGCCCGCAUGGACUGUUGCAGAUAGGCCAGUGACCCUCUCUCAGCCAUAGCGUGACCCUGCUUGCUCUAAACUCACCAAUUAUUUUAUUUUAUUUUAUUUUAUUUUAUUUUAUUUUAUUUAUUUAUUUUUGAGAUGGAGUCUCGCUCUGUCACCCAGGCUGGAGUGCAGUGGCGCAAUCCUGGCUCACUGCAAGCUCCGCCUCCCGGGUUCAAGCCAUUCUCCUGCCUCAGCCUCCUGAGUAGCUGGGACUACAGGUGCGCACCACCACGCCCAGCUAAUUUUUGUAUUUUUAGUAGAGACGGGGUUUCACAAUGUUUUCCAGGAUGGUCUCAAUCUCUUGACCUCGUGAUCCACCCGCCUCGGCCUCCCAAAGUACAGGCGUGAGCCACCGGCACCUGGCCUAAACCCAAUUAUUACUCCCCUCAGGAAACCUGCCUGGGUGACGCCCUGGACCCCAUAAAGGCCUUGGUCCCACAGGUCCCCUCUCUCUCUCACUCUCUACCUGCUACUUGAACACCCUGCUGUCUCCGGGAUUCCUGUUGGCCCUCAUCGGCGCUGGCUUCUCUCAUGGAUCUAGAGCGGCUAUCUCGGCUUAUGGUACCUCUCCAAGGGACACCCCAAGACCCAAUUAGACAAAGAUCUCAACAGGGAGGCUCCUGGCUCAAGGCACCUUGCUUGCCUCACUCUAGUCCCAGCCUGACCUCAGGAGAAGGAUUGAGGAACCUAGUCCUCCCGCAGGCAGGAGGGGUAGAGCACCUUGGAACCAAACUCAGGAGUUUCUGGCUGGCUCCAAACAGAAGAGCCACAGCCCACAGGAGCUCUCUUCUGAAAGGAUCUCCAGCCUUGGGUUUACCUCAUCAGAGGCUUGGCCUGUGGGACACUGCGGGAGAGGAUUGGGAGAAGAAAGAGGGGUGAGCCCUGUUGUCCUCUUCCAUGCCCUGACCCAGCAGCAUGGCUGGGGGAGGCGCUCUGGCCCUAAGCUUCACUUCCACCACGAAGCCUUCUCUGACUUACUCUCUGCAUCCUCGUCCCCAACCCACCUCAGUACUUAGUACAUGCCCCAGAAGAUAGACCUGACCCUCUGCGGCCUUGGAUCACCAGAGUUGUUUUCCUGGGCACACUUAGGCAUCCUGCCUCUCCCAUCAGACUACGUUACCCAGUCAGACGUGAUGCCCUGGAAUGUGCCCCCCAUCCAUCAGUGUCCCUCUCAGACUGCCACUUGGAGAGCAGGCUGUGUCUUCCCCUCAGUGUACCCCCCUUAGACUGAGCCCCUCCCCCUUGCCUGUGGGCCCCAUGGAAGGCUUUGUGGAGAAACCCCCUCCACCCAGUCUCUUUAACCACAGCCUCCCUCCCUACUUCUCAGGAAACCACAGGAGAAAGAACAGGAUGGGAUUUUAGAGAAGUGGCCAGGAGGCCCUGAAACUGCUAGUGAAGUGGCUGUGGCCAGGGGGCCCAGGGACCUGCCCAGCCUUGGGAUGGGGGUGUGUGGGGGGAGGGGGCAGUACCACAGACCCCCGUAUGGGCCACUGGGACAUGUAAGAGUUCAAGUCCUCCUUCUCCAGGAUAUAUUUCAGAGACAAUGAGGCUGAAUUCAGUACUUGCAGUACCGAAAAAAAAAAAUCUAACUUUACUUACAAAAACCCCAGAUCCAAAGCAACCCUAGAGCUGAUAUUAUAUAGGGUAUGGAAAGCAUGGCAUUCAGCAAUUCGCUGAUUUUCAAAAGUUGGACUGUGUGCAGAUUGGCUGACUUUCAGUCUUGGCAGUUAGGGAUUGGCUGACUUUCAGAAGCAAAUCACUGGAGUAAGACCCUUGCUGAUUGGCUGGCUCUCAGAAGCAUGGUCCCUGGAAUGAAGCUGUUGCUGAUUGGUUGGCUCUCAGGGGACUGAAGUAACGUGAUCAAUGACUGAUUGGACCAGGUUGAAAAUAAGUCUGUGUGACUUGUUCCUGGCUUCAGACUAGUUCUCAAAACAGUCCCCCACCCCCCGCCUUUUUACUUGCUUUUAAAAGACAGAGUCUGGCUCUGUCACCCAGGCUGGAGUGCAGUGGCACGAUCAUGGCUCACUGCAGCCUCAAACUCCUGGGCUCAAGCAGUCCUCCCAACUCGGCCUCCUGAGUAUAGUAGCUGGGACUGCAGGCAUGUGCCACCACACCCUGCUAAUUUAUGUAUUUUUGGUAGAGACAGGGUCUUGCUAUGUUGCCCAGGCUGGUCUUGAACUCCUGUCCUCAAGCAAUCCUCCAACCUUGGCCACCUCCCAAAAGGCUGGGACUACAGACUUGAGCCACUGAGCCUGGCCGCUCCCUUCCCUGCCCUUUUGUGAAUUUAGAGAAUAGAAACAUUUUGUUUUCACCUCCCCCACAUUCCUGGCUUUCCCUUUUCUGACCAGCCAAGCACUGAUCAUCUGUACCCACACUCCAGAAUUGUCCAGAAGUCAGUUUGCCCAGGCCUGGUCAUUCCAUCCUUCAAAAACUCUUUCAUGGAGACUGCAGCUCUAGAAAGCAGACCUGUGCCCUUCCUUUCUGGUGCUUGGCACACCCUCCUCAUCCCCUGUUUGAAUGGAUGAAUGAGUGAGUGAAUGAAUGAAUGAAUGGCUGUAAGGAGGUUACAUGGUAGAUUUGGCAGAACUAGUAUAAGCCAUAUCCUCCCUUCCUUUUCUGACCCCUGUAAAAUCCAGCCUCAGCAUUCCCCACUGAACCCCCCAACCUCUGCCCCCCCACACACAUAAGAAUGUGGACUGCCCACAGCUCACCAGUUCCUCUGGAACCAGUUUGAACCCCCUGUGACCCAGCAGGGCCCCCACUCCCCCUUGAGUGUUAAGAUUUUUGGAUUAGUUGGCUUGAACUGUUCUAGAAAACAACAGAGUACCUUUGAGAAAAACAAAAUGCAUUAAUUUGGGCCCUAGGUCAGAAAAACAAAUUUAUAUUUGGCUUUGAUCUGGGUUGAUUUUAGCCUUUGGCUAUCGAUCAGGAGAGUGAGAGGGUAGCAAGGGUUGUCUUUGCCCUAAAGUAAGAGACAUGGGUUUAAACCCUGCUCUGGCCAGAAUCAUGUAGGGAACUGGACCAGGCCUUCCUAUUUCUGUUCAUUUCAGCACACAUUUAAUGAGUACUUACUGUGUGUUAAGUAUGGUGUUGUACAGAUAGACUGCCCCAGCCCUCAAGGAGCUCAGUCUAGAGGGUAGAGAGAUAAGUGAGUAAAGGCUUACAGUUUAGAGGGAUCAGGGCUGUUAGGGAGGGGAGUGAGCAGGGGGGCUGUGUGAGCCCAGGAGAGGCACCAGAUUCAACUUAGAUUGAGAGGUGACAUCAGAAAGAUAUUAUGGGCCAACUCUGGGCACACUGCCUAUGAAUUCACCCUGCUUUGCAAGGAAUAGUAUGGUUAAUAAAAUUCUUUAAAAAAGAAAAAGAUGUUAUGGAAGUAUGUUACAUUAUUUGUAUGGCCCAGUGUAAAACGAAAGUGCAAGGCUUCUUAUUCAGAUUUCAAGAUGUCAGCAGCAGAGGAUUAAACUAAGCACAGGGCCCUACUGAGCACAGGGCUCUGUGUGACCUCACAGCUCUCAUCCCAUGAAGCCAGCCCUGCU
rnacentral:lncRNA from 10 species